ACAGCGGCCUCUUCACCUGUGUGGGCUCCUGAGGGAGAGCAUGGCUAACUCUGACCCCCCCAGACGGGAAGCGUGGCUGAGAUGCGACUUCCCGCGACGGGGGAGCAUGUGACACAGCCUGCCCACGCCAGCCAGAAAGCCAGACCGAGGCAGACGGACCACAGGACGCGGCACACGAGAGGCUUUGUCCCCGAGAGCGACGGCUCUGGGGCGGGCAGCGCUGGUGGCGUCUUCUCACCUGAGGUUGCUCCCGUGCCUUCCUCCGCAGCUCUGUCCGUGUGAUAGUGGAACCAGAGCGGGCGGCUGCGAACACCAGCGGCCUUGUUGGUGCUUCCAGACUCUUCCAUGCACAGUAUUUUCAGUUAAAUGGCCGUGUCAGCGUAAAUGAGCAAGAAGAGCCAGUGGCCCUACGGUCCUGAGCUCACAGCCCUCUGUGGUACGAGCGGUGGACAGCGGUCUCCGGGGACAUGGGGAGCUCUGUGGGUGAGAGGGCCAUCAGGGGCUGGACAGCUCUGCAUGUGCCCAGGCUGUCUGUGCACCAGACGCAGAGGUGUCGUGCGCCGGAGCCCCCACACUGCCCGCAGAGCCCAAGCGCACUCAUGGGAGGGGAGCGAGCCAGCAACAAGGGAAGGCCGGGCGGCAUGACCCCCUGAGAUUCGAUGUGCACCCCGUCCACUCACUGCCAGAAGCAGAAGUCUUUCUGGCUCCGGAUCAGACGUGCUGACAUUGAAGUACUGUAUAGUUGUAUAUAGCAACGCAGCACUUCCCCAUGAUGUCACUGGGACUGCGGGCACCAGUGUGUAGAGUGACUCGGAAGGACGCUCCAUUUGCCCCAGAGGAGAAUUUGGAUUCUGUGAAAAACUCGUAGAUACACAGGCAGAGGCCAUUCAGAAGGGCCUGGGACACCUUCGUCCUCGUCCCAGAAGCUCCCAUGCUCUGCCAUUUCCGAGGAGGUGUCAGUCCGCGUCAUCACGUCCAAGUCUGGAGAGGGGGCAUCCCUGCUUCUCUCUGUUCCUCGUCUUUCUCUGCCUCUUUCCUGGGUCUCAGUGCUCAGCAAGAAAAAAGUGUCUUCUAGGUCACUGUCCUCAUCACCGUCAUUCCUGUUCUUUCUGGGGAUUUUGAGGGGCCUUCUAAGAAGCUAAAAAUAAUAUUUAGCAACCUUUUUUCAAUUCCUUCGUUUUGGUAAAGUGAGCUAUGUGAAAUCUAACGCAGCUGCAUAAAAUCUUGGGGUCCCUUCCCACUUGUGCUGGAAAGCAUUGCAGGAAAAAAGUGGUUGCGUUUAAGAGAAAAGCGAUGAUGUAUAGACGCAUGAGGAAGACGUGUUCGUGGGUGGGUUGCUCCAGCAGCUCUACGGUCUCGUGAGAAUUCUUCCCGUGUCGAGCAGCGUCUUGUCUCAUCCUUCAG